rnacentral:lncRNA from 1 species
GAUCAGGAACAAUAUAAGGAUGCUCCUCCCACCACUUCUAGUCAACAUAGCUCUGGAGGUGCUAGACAGAAGAAUUAGGAAGCAACUCUGCCACAAGCUGUGACAAGCAGAGCCUCUUCUAAAGUGCCUUGAGGAUGGCCAUGGCCCCUGCUCCUGCCCACUGCCUCUCUGCAGAACUCCAACAUUGUGAAGCCCAGUCCCUGGCUGAGGUCAUCUGGUUCUGCAUCUCCUUCCUCUGUCCUCUCUGUCUCUCAACAGUGUUUCCCUCACAGAUGUUUUCCACAAAGAACUGCUGUGCUCUCACUCAACUUCACUGUUGAUGCUCCCACACUUUAUUUGCGCAUUGGACUUGCAAAAGUUCAAGAUUUAUAGGGUG